AAUAGUUUGGGAUAGGUUUUUCAGCCCUUUGGUUUGGAUCUGCCUUUUAACAAUGUUUCUUUGAUAAAACUGAAGCCACCAAGUUAAUUUUUGAUGAGGUGCGUAUUUAGGAGGCAUCUCAAACCCGGAAGGGCUUUGUCACAUCGACGUGCUGCACUUUGAUAUGGUGGUUGGCACAAAUGACCUUCCUGUUCCCAGUGCCCAGGCUCAGAAGACGACUCCUUCCUAAUUUUUCCUCGUUUUAAUCCAGCUCUGAAGCUUUGGGAAGGGGCCGUGCAGCUGCCACUGGCAGCACCUCUGCAGCCACCUUCGGUCACUGCUGGGCAGAGCUUUUCCCCACAGGGAGCUUGUGUUGGCCAAAACUGGGAAUGAACUUUAAAUAGUUAUUUUUCUGUUUGGCAGAGAGCACUGAUAGUUUACUCUGGAAUUCCAGUGCCUUAUUCAGAGCCCUUUAAUUUGCUUGGAAAGGGGAAUGAGGCAGUUUUUCUGGAGUGAGUGUCCACAGAGCAAGGACUGGCUGAGUGGCAGUGGCUGGGCAAGAACAGGAACCUUGAUAGUUCCAAAACCAAAAUCUGGCCCAAAGAACAAACCGCGUGUCUGUCUGUCUGUCCCACACCCCCCACCUCUCUGGGGGUUUCUUGUCAGCAUCCCACUGUGUGUUCAUCAGGUUUCACUGGGGAAUGGAAGCCCUAAUGAGGCUCUGAGCCCUCCCCAGUCAGGUUUGACCUGGCAGAUGGCAGAAGGUUUCCUCUGGCUCCUGCUGCCUGUCGAUGACCAGUGACCCACCACCACUGCCCUGCAGCACCAAACCCUUCUCAGCAGGCAGCCAGAGCAUCUGGAUGUGUCCACACUGUCCAGCUUGCCUUUCCCUGCUCUCCCUCGGCUGCAGCAGAGCAAGAGCUGCUGGAAUUAAAGCGGCAUCCAGUUUCUCUGGGUCCCAACUGAUUCUUUUCCCCCAUAUUUUGAACAUUUGUUUUUUCCCCACACACCAGGUAAGUAUCAGAGCACACAGUAACACGUGUGGUGUAACUGCACCACAGCCACGUCUGCCCUGAGCUCUCGGUGCCAGCCCAGGGUUUAGUGCCAGUAGGGUGUGUAGGCCUUGCUGGGGUGUUCCCAGGCAUUCGCCUCCUGUUGUAGGUGAAAACUGUUCCAGUGUUGUCCAGUCAGGUUCUGACUGUGGAUCCUGGUGAUUGUCAGCGCCAAGGGAUGUUUUUUAAUAAAUCUGGUCAAGGUAUUUGAAAUUAAUCCCGUCUUGUUUUCAGUUUGUCUUGUCCUGGGUGAGCCCAUGUUAAAGUUUCUUUUCUCUCUGUGGUUUGUUUUGUGGUCAGGACGUGUCGUACACCGAUGGGUUGGGUGUGUUGAAAGACCCACCCUGUGUGUGGUUAGUUUAUGUGGGGAUGUGUAACAAGAAAAGCCCAGAGUUCUCUCAGGGAGAUGUUUCACAGCAGUUCCUGAAUGUCUGGGCUGUCUUUGUCCCUAGUGAUCUUGGGUGCUCAGCCCGCUGCCAUGGUGUUCUUGGCCCAGCUGGACAGUGGGGGACAGCAGGGCCACCCCAGAGGCUGUUCCAUGUCUCUCAUCUACAGGUGCUGCCAGGGAUGUGGCACCUCAGGCAUGCUGCAGAAUGGGAUCUCGGUGGGAUCCACUGGCUUCUUCCUCCUCUGGUAGAAGGAGGCUCCAGGAUUGCCCUGGGUGCUGGGAAGGUGAGUGGUACCUGACCCCACAGGUUAUUGGUGUGGGGUGCUCCCAGGCUCUGCACUGCCUGGCUGUGCCACUCUCAGGGUUUCCCCUUCUGAGGAGCCACCAUCACCUUGGGGGUCACAGAGAGGUGCUGCAGCCCUGGAGCCAUCUCCCAGCCUGUGACCCGUGGGUGGCUGGAAACUGCCUGCUCUUUGCCCUCCUUGCUUAAGCAGAGGUGAUAGUUCAGCUUUUCUGUGGAGGUCAGAACUUGCAGGUGGCCUCUGGCCAGGCUUGGCCACAUUUUAGGACCCCAGUGUCCUCCCAGCUCCAGCACUGUGGGAGGUGGGUGUGGAGCAAUCUGCCAGCUCCUGCCCUGGUUCCCCUGGGGUAUCCUUGAGGGUUUCUUGGGGAUCUCCAAUCCAAGCUGUUCCCCUGUUUUCCUGGGGCUGCUCCAGCUCUGUCUGGGUCACAGCCCUGGCCUCCAUCUCUGCCCAGGGAAUGCUCAUCUGCCUCUCCCUGCUGUGACUUCAUCAAGAGACUCUGCCCUGGUCCUGCUUCAGGGGCAGCCCAUGGACAGGGUGCUCUCACCAGGCUUCCCACACCAGCCACCGACUUUUCACACCAAAGAGCUUUUCCUUCAUCUCUGGGUCAAAUAUUUGUUUGGAGCAAUUAUUUCCCCCUGCUCUCUCUGGUUCUGUGACAUUUCAGUCCAGCAGAGCCCACAGCAGUUUGUAUGAAUGGCCGUGGCCACUGCAGUGGCAUGGGGGACAUCGUGUGUCAUGGCUCUGCCAGGGGGACCUGCAGGGCUCUGCUCAGCCUGGCCACACCAGAUUUGGGUCUCAUUCAUUAAUCACUACUUUGCUGUUGGUAACUAAACUUCUGUUGCUUUGUGAUGUCAAGCAGCAUUUCUCCUUUCCCAGCCUUGCAGAGUUUGUGGGAAUUCAAGAGCUAGAUGCAAAUGAACUUCAUUAACAUGCUUAAUUAUCUUAUAAACCUCAUACCCAUCUGUCCUGCAUAUGCUUUGUGCUUGACACUCGAUGACAAAGUGACCAUGUUGGGCUUGGCACGAGGUGCCUGGGAGAGGGAACCCUUGGGAAGAGCCGGGCUCUGCCUGCAGAGGGGCUGUGCUAGUGCCAGGGGCACGCUGGAGGUGAAAUGUCUUUUUUCAAAGACUGUGUCUAAGCUGGGAGAUGGGAAAUGAUGUGUAGAACAUGUGGCAUAAUGGCACAAACUUAGGAAUGAUCUGUUAAAAGCAGAGAACCAGCAUGGAAACAAUUGCAACAAACCCCAAUCCCUGUCCGUUUGCAGCCCAAGAUUCUGGACUGCAUUCUGUAGUGGCACGUGAUGCAUUUCACAGAGGGAAAGCUGUGCUGCAGUCACAGCACUGGGGGCCUUGAGCAGUCUCAGGGAAUGCUUCUGUCCUUAUUUAAUGUUAUUGAAAAAUAGCAGAAAUAAUGAGCUUUUACUUCUAAGUUAGUUUGCAAACUGAUGGAUCUACCUGGGUAAGGGACAAUGCAAACCCCAGACUUGUGCCAGAGCCUUCUGAGGGUUUAGGGGCUGUGACAGGGUCUGGGCACAGACUGUCAGCUCUUCUGUACAACAGAAUCAUGUUGGAGCCACCUCUGUCAGGGGACACUUGGCACAUGGGGUGACCCUUCAGGUGCUGCUGUGUGCUCCUCACUCACCUCAUGGCAUGGGAAAAGCAGUGAUGUUGUGUUGGUUUCUGCUUUUUGGCCAUGUGUUUGGAACCAAGCUGAAGCAGAACAUGAAAUUUUGCCAGCCUGAGGGGGAGAAAGGACCCAGGAUGAGCAGCCCUGGGAGCAGCUGUCCUGCCCCCAGAGCAGUGAGUCCGUGUGUCCGGGCAGAGGAGAGCAGGGAGCACAGUGCAUAGCAAAGUGCUGACGGAGGAUCUCCUUCCCUCCUCUCGCUCUUGCCAGCUCACAUCAAGCCAAAGACACCUUGUUCCUGCAGGGGCCUGGGUAACACGCCAGCCUGGGCACCCCUGUGCCUUCCCCCUCUGCAUGCAGCCUCCUGGUCCCAGGCCAACCUCCCUAUCACGUUACCAGCCCGUCCCCUCCAGCGCCGCAGUCGUGAAGUUUAGGAGAGAGACUGUUGGAAACUGUGGAGCUGGAGCUCUAAAUAAUUGUAAAUAUGAGCAAAGCAGAGAUGUGGCUGCAGGGCAAGUAUUGUCUCUGUGUGCUGUGGUUGUGACCAAACUGGGAAGUUGAAGAGAAAACACAACUUUGCAGCAGAGGAUAAUUCUACAAAGCUCAUGAGCAAAUUCCACACGAGCCUUUCAGGAUGCUGUGAACAUCACUGACAGCCGUUGUGAAAAAGUUGGGUCUGGGUUUGUUUCACAAGUGUGAAAUAAUUUUCAGAGCUCUCAUAUUCAAACCAGCCUGGUAAAUUGCCCUAAAUGAGCACCAAGUGUCAUCUUGUGUGGAUGACAGAGGAAGCUGGAAUGCAGCUGAGAAGCCUUUGGACAAGCAGGAAGAAGUGGGCUUGGGCCAUGGGGAGUGCAGCUGACCUGGCAGAGGAGCCAAAUGGGCUGAUUGAGGAGAUGUGACCACACACGGGAUGUGGAGGAGCUGGGGAUUGAGAUGAGGUGCAGUAGUUUGUCAGGCCCUGCUCCAGGGUGACAGUGAUGGGACCUCCAGGCUGGGUGAUUGACAGCUGAUCUGGCUCCACUUCCCUGGUCAGCACAAGGCUGGGAUAAGCUGAUAUAGGGUGGAAGAAAAGCAGAAAAAAAAGGAAUUUCUCAUCUUAACACCUAAUGUGCUGCUGGCUUAAGACAGGAAGAGAAGCGACCUCGGCUGAUCCAAGAGGGAAGCACAGAGCACAUCGACAGCCAAGCCAUGAAACUCCACACCACAGGAAUGAACCAUUCAUGGAAUUAACCAUCGUGCCCAAGGUGGACAGCUUGGGGUGAAAAGUUAAUCCUGAUAUAAUUAGAGACAGCCAUGAACAGCAAAAUCGUGGAGUCACAGGUCACAGGGUGAGAUGCCACCAAGACCUUGCAGUGUGUCAAGUCUUGCAGGAAUGGGACAGGAGUGUAACAGAAAUCAUCUGCCUCGUGCUUCAAAGGAUGGAGCAAUAUCCUGAGAGAGCUGGGGAAGGUUUUUCUGUCCACCAAUGAAGUGUUUGGCCUUGAGGAACUCAGGCAAGAAUAUCAUGUCCAACAAAGGAUACAAAACCCAAACAAAUUAAAAUGCAUCUGGACUGAUGUGCAGUUCCCUGUAGGUACUGGAAGACCUUGUCUCUGUGAUGCCAUCAAGGAAUGAGCAGAGGACAGAAAUGACAUGGGAGAAAUCUGGAGACACCUUUCAAGGAAUGAGGAAUCAUCCAACCCCUCUGGUUUGAAGAUGCUGCAGGCCACUGCUCUGAGCUGUGUGGAGGGAGCAGAAUGAAUGGAGGGAAGCACGAGCCCUGGUGGGAAGGAUGAGGUCUUGCUCCAAGAUAAAGGUUCAGGCAAGAGGUGGAACCUGUGUGAAUUUGGCAGAGGGGAGUGUGAGCAGUGCUCACUCCUGAGCUCACAGCUCAGCACCCAAGCUCAGACUGAGCAUCUGGGAUUCAGCUCACACCAAGCUGUGAGUGGCAGCACCUGAAGAGCUUGUGAAUGCUCUCUCCUGCUGGUGGUGCAAUGGGAAGGCCACAUCUUUAACAACCAGGGGACAAGGCAGGGAGGGGGGAAACACUGAAAUCUUCCCAUCUCAAGUGGCCAGAGUGUAUCUAUGGGCAUCCCAGCUUUCUCUGUGCUCAGGGAAGAGAUCUUUCACCAUAAUCUGCAGCGGAAAAAAUGCUCUGUGUCUUUUUUUUGGCCUAUGUUGGCUGAAACCGCCCAUAAACCACUAAUUGCCACUGCUAAAAGGGAGCUGGCAGACAUGAAAUUUGCCCAGAUUACCCAGAUUACUAUUUUAUGGGUAGAAAUAUGAUUUCAAACUGACUGCGGGGCAGGUUGCAAACUGGUGUCAGAGAGAUGAGAAACCAAAAUGUAGCAGAGCCCAAAGACAGACAUUUUUUGUGGCAGUUUACUUUAAAAAUAAAGCAAAUGGACUGUUGUGUCGCAGACAAAGUCUGAGAUUGUCGAGCAACAACCCUGAGUGAGAGCACAAAGAUUUAUACAGGUUUUUCUUAAUAGUUUGUCAGGCAUGGCAAAGUUACAGGCUUCACAUUUGGGACUUAAGAAAGAAGGACCCCUCAGAGUGACAGAUUCAAUUAUGCUGAUGACAGAAGACUCUGUUUUUCUUGAACUGCUACUCUUGCUUUUGUGAGAUAGCCUUACACAUUACUUGGGGGAUUCCUCCACAUCAGAGUUAGAUGGUCCUGACAGACGAUGGGCAAGGUUCUGAGCAAUUUGCUGAAAAGCCCAAGUCUGCAUCCAGUCCCCACGAGACUCUAUUCAACAAGUAGGUAGGAAAUGGCUUUACAUUAAUGAAUACUUAAUGAAAAGGAGAGCAGAAUCAGAUCUGAUUGGUGCUUGUGGGGUGUCGCCCACAGAACAUGUUUAGCCACCUGCAAAUACUCCUUCUGCAUGAAAUGAAGCAAGGAGACCCUUUGGGACGUGUGUCAAGCUCUGUAGCCCACGGAGCCAAGGGUUUGCAGAAGUUCACAGACACACAGCUAAACACCAAACAGUGCUGUGAUUGCGGUCCCUGGGUUACCACCACUUCCUGAACACCACGGAAUUCACACACACAAUGAAAAUCAGAAGCCAGAAACAGCAGUUAUUUCACAUAAAAUUGCUCCACAAUCCCAUGAGUACAGGGUGUGUGUAACCAGACAUGCCUGGAGAAAGAAUAGGCAGCACCUUCUGCAGCAGCCAGAAGGAGAAGAGGCAACAGGCUCCGAGCUUUUCUUCUAUCCUGGAAGAGCUUUGGCAGCACAUGGGGAGGGUAAGGCCACCAGGUGCUGGGACAUAACAUCACCAGGAAAAACAGACUCCCAUUCCCAAUGAGAACUCCUCUGGUGGUGCCACAAUGACUACAAGUUACAGGGCAGAGCUCCUCAGAAGUUAUUCAAACACUGCUAAUUGUUUGGCUGUAAGGUUUUGAGGUCACAAGCUAUAGAAAUGAUACUUCCAUGGUUUGGGUGGGGAAGGGAGGUAGGACCUCAGGAACUGUGUCUUUAAGCAGCUUAGUUCUGGAGACAGGAAGUCUGGCGAUGGGCUGCAGCAGUGCAGAUUUUAUUAUGCAAUUUCUCUUGGAACUAGUCCCUGAAUAAAGGAGUUAUCCAUUAAGCACCUGCUUCACCCUCCCUCCUGAGCACCACAAACGAAGGUCUCAGGAAUCCUUUCAAGAGUUUACCCAUCAGUGGGGGAGCAGGGAGCCAUGCAUUGGGGUCCAGACUGGCAAUAUUGAUGUAUUUGAUUUAUAGUGUCUUUCAAAGGGUUUCUCUUCAUUAAAUCCUCUUAUUCUGUUUGAGCUUGUUCCAUGUUUGGCAUUACUAGUGUACUAGUGGGUGAGGCCAUCCAAGUCUUGCAAUACUGAUCCAAAGGGCUGUGGUACCCAGGCUACUCUGAGGCCCUCAGGGUAUUUAAUCAUAGCCCUCUUUCCAAGGGGCAGUGGAUAACAGCUAAGGCCUUCCUCUCCUCCUGCCAUUAACCCAGUGCUGUUCUGACUCCAUGGCAGGGGCAGCUGGGGCCAUCCUAAGGGGACAUUGCAGCACGGAGAAGCUGCAGGACACAGUGGAAGUAGGAUCCUCCUCCUCUGCCCCUACUGCCUGGGGUAAAGGAUUCCCUCCCUCCAAAGCACCUCCUUUCCCUCCCACUCUGCUCCUGGGACUUGCAGCCCCACUCUGACUUCACCAACAUGGCAAGCCUGGCACUUGCUGUAAAGACAGAGGAGCUCUCCCAGCUAAUCACGGCCUCCAUACAUCCUGUGCCUUUCUCCCAACAGUGGGAACAGGGCAUUUCCCUCAGAGGCACCGACACAGCAGCUCCUGUCACAGCACUGGGGCUGCCAGGACCCCUGCCUCAGCGGCUGUGUGCUCAGGGCUGCAGUGCUGGUGUGACACGGGUGUGUCACCCAGCACCAGGCAGCAUGCACAUCCUCUGCAGAGGGGCAGUAGCUGUGGGACUGCUCAGGAUCUGUCCCCAGUGGUCAAUCUCCAUCCUGACUUUAUCCCAGAGCAGCAGAGUUUGUGCAGCAGCAGGGAAAGGGGUCAUGAGGGGAGCAAAGUGCUGUGGAGAGCUCCUGGUGUCAGCCACUCUUGCCUAUCCAUAAGUGAUGUCAUUGUAGAAGCACAGACUCGUUUGGGUUUGAGGGACUUUAAACACCAGCUCAUUCCACCUUCCUGCCAUGGGCAGGGACACCUUCCACUAGCUCAGGCUGCCCAGGCUGCAAUGACCAAGGCAAGCACAAAGAGUGAUCCAAGAUGCAAUUCAAAACACACCAACCAAACUUGUUAAAAAGUCCAAGCAGGAGCCAGAAAAAGACACUGCUGUCCUCAGCUGUGCCUUAGAGUCUGACCUGACUCCCACCCCUCACCUCCAACAG